rnacentral:rRNA from 1 species
AUACGUAGGUGGCAAGCGUUGUCCGGAUUUAUUGGGCGUAAAGCGAGCGCAGGCGGUUUCUUAAGUCUGAUGUGAAAGCCUCCGGCUCAACCGGGGAGGGUCAUUGGAAACUGGGAAACUUGAGUGCAGAAGAGGAGAGUGGAAUUCCAUGUGUAGCGGUGAAAUGCGUAGAUAUAUGGAGGAACACCAGUGGCGAAGGCGGCUCUCUGGUCUGUAACUGACGCUGAGGCUCGAAAGCGUGGGGAGCAAACAGGAUUAGAUACCCUGGUAGUCCACGCCGUAAACGAUGAGUGCUAAGUGUUGGAGGGUUUCCGCCCUUCAGUGCUGCAGCUAACGCAUUAAGCACUCCGCCUGGGGAGUACGACCGCAAGGUUGAA